GGGGUUGUGGCUCAGUGGUAGAGCACUUGUCUAUCAUGUGUGAGGCACUGGGUUCGAUUCUCAGCACCA
rnacentral:tRNA from 1 species